UACCAGCACCCCGAGUGGUCGGGACGUUUAUUGGGCCUAAAGCAUCCGUAGCCGGUUCUACAAGUCUUCCGUUAAAUCCACCUGCUUAACAGAUGGGCUGCGGAAGAUACUAUAGAGCUAGGAGGCGGGAGAGGCAAGCGGUACUCGAUGGGUAGGGGUAAAAUCCGUUGAUCCAUUGAAGACCACCAAUGGCGAAGGCAGCUUGCUGGCAUGUAUCUGACGCUAAGGCACGAAAGCGUGGGGAGCGAACAGG
rnacentral:rRNA from 1 species